rnacentral:rRNA from 1 species
CGUGUAGGCGGUCGGGCAAGUCAGAUGUGAAAGCCUUCCGCUCAACGGAAGAAGUGCAUUUGAAACUACCCGGCUGGAGUACGGGAGAGGAGAGUGGAAUUCCCGGUGUAGAGGUGAAAUUCGUAGAUAUCGGGAGGAACACCGGUGGCGAAGGCGGCUCUCUGGUCCGAUACUGACGCUGAGACGCGAAAGCGUGGGGAGCAAACAGGAUUAGAUACCCUGGUAGUCCACGCCGCAAACGAUGGGCACUAGGUGUAGGAGGUAUUGACCCCUUCUGUGCCGAAGCUAACGCAUUAAGUGCCCCGCCUGGGGAGUACGGCCGCAAGGCUAAA